UACGUAGGGGGCAAGCGUUGUCCGGAAUCAUUGGGCGUAAAGAGCGCGUAGGCGGUCCGGUAAGUCCGCUGUGAAAGUCAAGGGCUCAACCCUUGAAUGCCGGUGGAUACUGUCGGGCUAGAGUCCGGAAGAGGCGAGUGGAAUUCCUGGUGUAGCGGUGAAAUGCGCAGAUAUCAGGAGGAACACCGAUGGCGAAGGCAGCUCGCUGGGACGGUACUGACGCUGAGACGCGAAAGCGUGGGGAGCAAACAGG
rnacentral:rRNA from 1 species